rnacentral:misc_RNA from 1 species
GUCGAGUUGCGCAUGUGCAGCUUGUUUAAUGGAAUCUUGGCGGUCGUCUUCGCCUCUUUUUUAGCUAUUUACGGGGGUUUUUCUAUUGAUGUUCGAAUAUUUUAAUUCGCCGUACGUUGGUCGGUUAAUGUUAGUAACGUAAUUAAUAGAGCACCACGCAAUGGAAAAACGCAUCGAAUUAGAGAAAAGGGGCAAAAACCCGGCGCAGAUCACAGAACUGAAUCUGGACAACUGCAGGAGCACAACUAUAGUGGGACUCACAGACGAGUUCGAGAAUCUCGAGAUCCUCUCUUUGAUCAAUGUCGGUUUGACCUCCCUGAAGGGGUUCCCCAAGCUUCCGAACUUGAAGAAGCUCGAAUUGAGCGACAACAGAUUGACCGGAGGUUUCGACAUUCUGGAAACCAGUCCCAAACUGUCCUACCUUAACUUGAGCGGCAAUAAAGUCAAAGACAUUGAAUCGUUGGAGUUCCUGAAGAUGUUCAAGAACCUGCGGCACCUCGACCUGUUCAAUAACGAGGUGACCAACGUGGAAAACUACCGGGAGAAGAUCUAUAAGAUGAUUCCCAACUUGAAAUAUUUGGAUGGGUACGAUGCUGAAGACGAGGAGGAGAGUGAGGUUGAGGAUUGUGAGGAGGUCAAUGGUAACGGGGAGGAGGGCGAUGAUUCUAAUGAGGAUGAAGAGGAACUCUCCUUUGAUGAGGAGGAUGAGUUGGACGAAAGUGUGGGUCUAGGGAUGGUUUACUCGGAACAUAUUGAUGAUCUGUCCGAUGAGGAGGACUACGAGGUUGAGGAAGGGGAGGAGGAGGACGAGGAGAUCGAUGACGAGGAAGAGGAAGAAGAUACUCAGAAUCUCUCCACCUCAAGCGCAAAAGGAAAAAAGAGGAAGCACGAGGACGGAGAGGACGACGAUUAAACAACAAACAACUUCUACUCGCAUCCGUACAUCAAACAACCACAAAUCGGGACGAUCGGCGUCUUUACGUUUUCGGUUUACAAUUGAGCCUUCGGCCCUUUUUUACGGUGCGAUGGCACUUUAUCGUAAGUGGUGCCGCGCCGAUUGCUAAACGAGGUCCAGGUCGUACCGAAGGCUUUAAAAAACCGUUCAUACAACUUCGAAAGGUGCGACAACGAGUCGUCGCGAUAAAAAAUUGCGAGAGUCGAAUGCGACCCUUAAUUGUCCCGGUUUAACGUUUAAAGUUGUAAUAUACAUAAUAUUUAAAAAAAAAAAAAGAACUGAUAUAAUAAUAAUAAUGAUAAUGAUAAUAAUAAAGUCGUGUUUUAAAAAUGUUUAUUUUUAACUUAACGGGGGUAAGGGGCGGUUUUUUUUUUAUACGUCGGCAGGGUCAUAACUAUUUUUCAUAUUGAAAAAUUCGCGCCGGCACUUUUUUGUUUUUUUUCUUGUUAUUAUUAAUGUGGGUGAAGUAAAGAAAUACCUACGUGCGAUUCAUACAAAUCGGUUGAUUAGUAGUGAAGUAAGAAGACAUUUUGCAAAAUGGGCCUUUUUGGAAGUGAUUUUUUGUAAAUUUUUAAAUAAAGUCAUUUCUACUGGACCGAAAUUAUUCGUUCACCCCUUAAAAGUUGCAGAAUGUUCUUCCAAAGCUUUUAAGGGUAAAAUCACACAAAUCCAUUCAUCAGAAGUGAAGUUAUAAGACUUUUUGCAAAAUGGGCCUUUUUAGAAGUGAUGUUUUGUAAAUUUCUGGAUAAAGUCAGUUCUACUGCACCGAAUUAAUUCGUUCACCCCUUAAAAGUUGCAGAAUGUUCUUCCAAAGCUUUUAAGGGUAAAAUCACACAAAUCCAUUCAUCAGAAGUGAAGUUAUAAGACUUUUUGCAAAAUGGGCCUUUUUGCAAGGAAUUUUUUGUAAAUUUCUGGAUAAAGUCAGUUCUACUGCACCGAAUUAAUUCGUUCACCCCUUAAAAGUUGCGGAAUGUUCUUCCAAAGCUUUUAAGGGUAAAAUCACACAAAUCCAUUCAUCAGAAGUGAAGUUAUAAGACAUUUUGCAAAAUGGGCCUUUUUGCAUGGGAUUUUUUGUAAAUUUUUGGAUAAAGUCAGUUCUACUGGACCGAAUUAAUUCGUUCACCCCUUAAAAGUUGCGGAAUGUCCUUCCAAAGCUUUUAAGGGUAAAAUCACACAAAUCCAUGCAUCAGAAGUGAAGUUAUUAAAUAUUUUACAAAAUGGGCCUUUUUGGAAGUGAUUUUUUGUAAAUUUUUGUAUAAAGUCAGUUCUAUUGGUCCGAAUUAAUUCGUUCACCCCUUAAAAGUUGCGGAAUGUUCUUCCAAAGCUUUUAAGGGUAAAAUGACACAAAUCCAUGCAUCAGAAGUGAAGUUAUUAAAUAUUUUACAAAAUGGGCCUUUUUGGAAGGGAUUUUUUGUAAAUUUCUGGAUAAAGUCAGUUCUACUGGACCGAAUUAAUUCGUUCACCCCUUAAAAGUUGCGGAAUGUCCUUCCAAAGCUUUUAAGGGUAAAAUCACACAAAUCCAUUCAUCAGAAAUGAAGUUAUAAGGCAUUUUACAAAAUGGGCCUUUUUGGAAGGGAUUUUUUGUAAAUUUUUGGAUAAAGUCAGUUCUACUGGACCGAAUUAGUUCGUUCACCCCUUAAAAGUUGCGGAAUGUUCUUCCAAAGCUUUUAAGGGUAAAAGCACACAAAUCCAUGCAUCAGAAGUGAAGUUAUAAGGCAUUUUGCAAAAUUAGCCUUUUUUCAAGGGAUUUUUUUGUAAAUUUCCGGAUAAAGUCAUUUCUACUGGACCGAAUUAUUUGAUUCACCCCUUAAAAGUUGCGGAAUGUCCUUCCAAAGCUUUUAAGGGUAAAAUCAACCAAAUCCGUUCAUCAGAAGUGAAGUUAUAAGGCAUUUUACAAAAUGGGCCUUUUUGAAAGGGAUUUUUUGUAAAUUUUUGGAUAAAAUCAGUUCUACUACACCGAAUUAAUUGGUUCACCCCUUAAAAGUUGCGGAACGUUCUUCCAAAGCUUUUAAGGGUAAAAUCACAGAAAUCCAUUCAUGAGAACUGAAGUUAUAAGAGAUUAUACAAAAUUACCCGUAGAAGAAACUUUUUAUUUAAAUUUCUUUUCCAGACAAUCAUCAUACUUAAUUUAACUCGUUGUUCGUUGCAUUUAAUUUAAUUUCGGGUCCCUUUGAUCGUUCUCAUUCAGGGUCAGAGUCUCUCAUUCGGACAACACUAAAUAAUCUGUUAAAUAUUUUAUUUUAGUGAUGAUUUUACCAGUAAUUAAUGCAAUUUCGGGAUUUUAAUAUAAAUUGUCACCCAAUUGGUUUCCUGGAAAUUCGAACCGUAACACCACGACAAAACCCAUUCAGUAAUUAAGAGUGUAAGUAAUAUUUAAAAAACAACAUUUGAACACACAAUCAUAACCUCAAAAAUGACUUAAUAAUUGAGAUUUAAUAAAAUUUAACUGAAGCAUUCCGCUCAACCAAAAUAAGGACGGAAUCCUAUGGCCGCUUUCGGGUAAAUUAAAAGUCAAUGGUGGCCGAGUCGGGACGUCUGGGCGGCCAAUAAAAUUGUCGAAGUUCACUGGACUCUUCUUGGAUGCUAUUGGUCGGCGGUAAACCUUGAUCUAAGCCUUAUAGUCCGGGCGUUUAUGUACUAAAUACUUCACAUAAUUGCCGCUGUAGGAGAUUAAUUAUGUACAUAUCCUGCAGGGUUUUGAGGCACUUUAUUUGUUUAUAAAAUCAAAUCGUUGUUGGAAAGAUCCUUGAGAAACUCUGACUCUUGUAAUAAACAAUAGAAAAAUGCCUUCGAUACGGCCCUGGUUUAGUUUAGUUUAAUUCUGUCAUUUUUCACUAGUUACGUUUGUAAAGUUUAAACUUUUAGCCCUAAAGACGCUCGAAUGUAACAACUUCCUGUUAAUUAAUGUUCUCUCAAUAUUUAAGACUCUUUGUUAAAAUCGUCGACUCGAUCCCAUUUUUCCUUUUCUUUUUUCAUUUUAUUGUUUUGUUUGUAAUUUUAACCGUUAAAUAUUAUUAUAAGUAUUAAAUAUAAAAACAAAAUAACCCACAUAAUAUUAUAUUAAAUUAAAAUUUUAGCACUUAGGUUUUCUUUUUUUCGUUUUUAUAUAGAGCCUAAUGAUUUCCGAAUAAAUUUAAUAUUUUUCUUGAAUUAAAAAAUCGCCUUAUCAAAG